GUGGGGAAUAUUGGACAAUGGGCGCAAGCCUGAUCCAGCCAUGCCGCGUGAGUGAUGAAGGCCUUAGGGUUGUAAAGCUCUUUCAGUGGGGACGAUAAUGACGGUACCCACAGAAGAAGCCCCGGCUAACUUCGUGCCAGCAGCCGCGGUAAUACGAAGGGGGCUAGCGUUGUUCGGAUUUACUGGGCGUAAAGCGCACGUAGGCGGAUCGUUAAGUCGGGGGUGAAAUACUGGAGCUCAACUCCAGAACUGCCUUCGAUACUGGCGAUCUUGAGUCCGGAAGAGGUGAGUGGAACUCCUAGUGUAGAGGUGGAAUUCGUAGAUAUUAGGAAGAACACCAGUGGCGAAGGCGGCUCACUGGUCCGGUACUGACGCUGAGGUGCGAAAGCGUGGGGAGCAAACAGGAUUAGAAACCCCGGUAGUCC
rnacentral:rRNA from 1 species